rnacentral:rRNA from 1 species
GAUGAACGCUGGCGGCGUGCCUAAUACAUGCAAGUCGAGCGAAUGAUGAGGAGCUUGCUCCUCUGAUUUAGCGGCGGACGGGUGAGUAACACGUGGGUAACCUGCCUGUAAGAUGGGGAUAACUCCGGGAAACCGGGGCUAAUACCGAAUAAUAAAAGAGGAAGCAUUUCUUCUUUUUGAAAGUUGGUUUCGGCUAACACUUACAGAUGGGCUCGCGGGGCAUUAGCUAGUUGGUGAGGUAACGGCGCACCAAGGCGACGAUGCGUAGCCGACCUGAGAGGGUGAUCGGCCACACUGGGACUGAGACACGGCCCAGACUCCUACGGGAGGCAGCAGUAGGGAAUCUUCGGCAAUGGGCGAAAGCCUGACCGAGCAACGCCGCGUGAGCGAGGAAGGCCUUCGGGUCGUAAAGCUCUGUUGUCAGGGAAGAACAAGUACGAGAGUAACUGCUCGUACCUUGACGGUACUUGACCAGAAAGCCACGGCUAACUACGUGCCAGCCGCCGCGGUAA